UUGCAUGAUGAACCCCAGAUAGGGACAGCUUAUACCUAACGGUAUUUGAUGAGAACCCUGGGCGAAUAUUUUAGUAGAUGCUUCGACUGUCUGAUA
rnacentral:snoRNA from 1 species